UCAAGAGAUACUUCACUCUAUUUAUAGAUAAAGAAGAAGGACCCAGGCAACCACCGCGGCGCACAAACCCUACAUCCAGAUCCAUCCCACCUCUGACCUAGGCUAUCAUGACUUCCAUCGUCUCCAAGCUCGCGCGGGCAGCCGUCGCAACCCACGCCUCUUCCGCACCGAUUGGAUGUACUGCUGGUGGCAGUCGCUCUACGGCCCGGUGUCUCCCUGGGCUCUGGCUGACUGGCGGUACCAUCCGACGCAUGUGUAGAGGCGUCUCUCCUGCAGGUAAUCCCAGUUUUAACAUCCAAGGAUCCCUUCCGUAAUUUGGAUAUGAAUCCUGACUGCCGAAAUUCCCAAACAGUGCUCCUUAUUUCGUUCCGAAUGCUUCAGAAUUUAAUACCUGAAAUAUAAUUUCUUAUUAUCUGUAGAUAUAUUUGAAUAAGCAGGCAGGGAUUGGGCCUUAUUUAUUGCUUGCUUAGUAGUACCAGCAGAUAAUUUGUUAUAAUAAUUCUGCUUUGCAAGGCUAAACUACCAAUUUUACUCUGAUGAGAGAGCACGUAUUUUCCUACACACUGCAAAUCAAAUUCUAAUUCUUUGCCUACUGAACGACAGGAGGUCCCAAUUCAGAAGAAGAGAAAGGCAGACCCAACUCGGAAGAUGCUGUAGAUGCUGCAGCCAUAGAUCCUAUAGAUUAUCUCCAUGUUCAAGAGGAUUUCCUCAAGUCGAAGGAAGCCCUGUGGGCCUUGUAAGACUACUGGCGCAAGUAUCAUGGCAUCUCGCGGGACAGAAAUGAGAUUGCCAGACGGUUCAACAUAUUUUGCAGAACGGCAAGGCAUGUGCACAAAGUCAACAAUUCCGGCAAGUCAUUAAAGUUGACACUGACCAAGUAUUCAGAUCGGACCACGCGGGAGAUGUUUCGUCCAAAACAUGGCCCUAAAACUUGAUCUCAGCAGACUCUUGUGUCACCUGUAAGCCCGAAAUUUAAGCUUCAGAAUACCAAGUUUCCCAGACAUGGCGAAAGUUCUAGCAUUACUGUAUGGUGCUUUGUUGUGUGAACUUCUUUAGCUAUACACUGGACAUGCUGGUGCUGAUAUGGUUGUGUAUUACUUCCUAUAUGUUUGCAAAAGUUUAUGUUUGUCUGUUCCUUUUCUUGUAGUCCUGUUUCGUCACCCGCUACUAUUCAGGGUUUUUUUUUGCUUUUAAAAGAUAUGUUCAUCAAUUCAUAUAGGAGUAAUAAAAUUUUCCAGUGAAAGAGUUAGUAAAGUGAUAAGAAAGACACUUCA
rnacentral:lncRNA from 1 species